GUGCUCAAUUUGGCAGUACAUUUACUAAAAUUAGAGCAUUAUAAGAGAAUAUUAGCAUGACCCCUGUGCAAGGUUACCAUAAGUUCCUGAAGUAGGCCAUUUUGCC